GACGAACGCUGGCGGCGUGCUUAACACAUGCAAGUCGAGCGGAGCGGCGAACGGGUGAGUAACGCGUGAAUAACUGUCCCCCUCUCUGGGAUAGCAGUUGGAAAAGGAUGCUAAUACCGGAUAGUGGGGGAUGACUCGCGUCCUAGCAUCUUGUUGGUGUGGUAGUGGCCAACCAAGGCGACGACGGUUAGCCCGCCUGAGAGGGCGACCGGCCACAGUGGGCUGAGAGACGGCCCAAACUCCUACGAGAGGCAGCAGUGGGGAAUAAUGCACAAUGGGGGAAACCCUGAAGCAGCAACGCCGCGUGUGGGAUGACGGCCUUCGGGUUGGAAGCCGCAUUCGGCCAUGACGCGUUAGUGGCAGAAGAAGCACCAGGUAACUACGUGCCAGCAGCCGCGGUAAUAC
rnacentral:rRNA from 1 species